rnacentral:rRNA from 1 species
CUACGGGGCGCAGCAGUGGGGAAUAUUGCACAAUGGACGAAAGUCUGAUGCAGCAACGCCGCGUGGAGGAUGACACAUUUCGGUGCGUAAACUCCUUUUAUAUAGGAAGAUAAUGACGGUACUAUAUGAAUAAGCACCGGCUAACUCCGUGCCAGCAGCCGCGGUAAUACGGAGGGUGCAAGCGUUACUCGGAAUUACUGGGCGUAAAGAGCGUGUAGGCGGGUUUGUAAGUUGGAUGUGAAAUCCUAUGGCUCAACCAUAGAACCGCAUCCAAAACUGCUUACCUAGAAUAUGGGAGAGGUAGAUGGAAUUUCUGGUGUAGGGGUAAAAUCCGUAGAGAUCAGAAGGAAUACCGAUUGCGAAGGCGAUCUACUGGAACAUUAUUGACGCUGAGACGCGAAAGCGUGGGGAGCAAACAGGAUUAGAUACCCCCGUAGUC